rnacentral:tRNA from 1 species
UAUAUUUAAGUGUAUUGAGCACAGGGGAUUUUGAUUUCCCUAGUUAUGGUUUAAUUCCAUAAAAUAUAA